CUGUGUGUGAUGUGGGGACACCAUGACCACUGCUGAGCCUGCCCUGAUCCUUGCCCAUGGGACACCACGGUGACAUUGCUGGUGAGCACCAGAAACAUGGGUUUCCCAGCUUCUUGGACUUAGCAUAGCUGUCUACACUUCUGUGCUGUCAGCCUAGUGCCAAGGAGGAGUGGGUACCUGCCUUUUACAUCCAGCUGGGGCUGGAAAUCAGCUGAGGGUCCAAAAAACCAAGAGUGGCCAGGAGAUCUGCAAUCCUGGCUCCUUCACAUAACAGGAAGUUCUCCCAUUCUACCUAAGCAUAUGUGAGCACACCAGUGCUCCUCAAAAUCUCUGAAGAGCAGAUCUUGGGAGCCCCAUGUGCCUGUGAAGGCAAAGAAUAUUCACUCAUGAGAGAGAGGACAGAAUUCUUUGGCUUGUUGAAAAUCACCUUUCUGGAUGCAUGCCUGGGCAAAUGAACACUAUAAAUUGCUCUUUCCAUAAAUCAGUGCAAAAAUCUAACCCAGUGUCCUGAACUUGGGAUAAGAAAAAUAAUCUGCUUCUAAUACAUUACAUUUGGAAGACCAUUGGCAUAAAUGGAGGAAACAGAAGAGGAAAGCUGUGAUGCUUCAGAGAAAACUCCACAACCUAUUAUUGGGUAAAAAACAUAGACUCCAUCCUACAGCUCUUUGGGACACAAAACGUGGGCCAGAAUCAGGAAAGUGUCUGGGAGCUGAACUAGGCUUCCAAAGAUCUGCAAGAGCAGUUUUACCUCGGAUACCACUUGUCCAAACCUAACAGCCCCUGGUGGCUCUGAGACAUGCAGAGCAGUAACUUCACACAAACAGCUGUGCCUGACAUCUGUACCAGACGCUGCUGAGGAGGGUCCCACACAGAACCGUCUGCCCCUGAAGAUCACUCUGUUCAAGCCACAGUUCACUUUGCCACUCCAGACUCUAGCCAUGCCUUUGAAAAUUUAUAUGCUGCCUUUUUCUUUGCCAAGUGCCUCUCAGCACUGUGUAAGUCUCGAGGACCAAGGGGAAAGACAGCAAGUGGAUCUAAUCUUUCCAACAUUAUGACAUGGGACGGCUCAAAAAUGACAAAAAGUAGUUUUGCAGUCCACAAAGUCUCACUUCAAGAAAAAGACACAUCUGCUUUCAGAGUUUUAGCUUUGCAGUCAAGCCUUUACUUUUUCCUAUUUUACGUACACUUGUAUGUAAAUACAUAUGCUUUCAUGUGCAUAUUUCUGUAUUUGGUACCUAUAGAUCAGCACAGAAACAUAUUGGCUUCCUCUCCUUUCCUCAUUCACGAAAAUGCUGAUAUAAUAGCUUAUAAAGAAGCCGCUUACCAUCAAACUGGUUUUAAUUCUUUCAUUUAAAUUGGUAUCUAGAAAGAAAUACACAUAUAUACAUA